GGGCGCGCGGAGACUAAAUUCAUGCUAGAUAAGAGUGCUGGCUUUGAUGUGGUUGAAUGCUUGCUCACCGUCACACAGCUGGAGAGACACAACUGGAGAUAAGGAAACCGAGGCCCGGAACAAUGAAGGAAGCUG